GACGUAGGGGGCCAGCGUUGCUCGGAAUUACUGGGUGUAAAGGGUUCGUAGGCGGUGCGGCAAGUUGGGAGUGAAAUCCUGGAGCUCAACUCCAGAACUGCCUUUGAUACUGGGAGCUCGAGUCCGGGAGAGGUGAGUGGAACUCCGAGUGUAGAGGUGAAAUUCGUAGAUAUUCGGAAGAACACCAGUGGCGAAGGCGGCUCACUGGCCCGGUACUGACGCUGAGGUGCGAAAGCGUGGGGAGCAAACAGG
rnacentral:rRNA from 1 species